UUGAACGCUGGCGGCAUGCUUUACACAUGCAAGUCGAACGGUAACAGGUCUUCGGAUGCUGACGAGUGGCGAACGGGUGAGUAAUGCAUCGGAACGUGCCCAGUCGUGGGGGAUAACGCAGCGAAAGCUGUGCUAAUACCGCAUACGAUCUAUGGAUGAAAGCGGGGGAUCGCAAGACCUCGCGCGAUUGGAGCGGCCGAUGUCAGAUUAGCUAGUUGGUGGGGUAAAGGCCCACCAAGGCGACGAUCUGUAGCUGGUCUGAGAGGACGACCAGCCACACUGGAACUGAGACACAGCCCAGACUCCUACGGGAGGCAGCAGUGGGGAAUUUUGGACAAUGGGGGCAACCCUGAUCCAGCCAUUCCGCGUGAGUGAAGAAGGCCUUCGGGUUGUAAAGCUCUUUCGGCAGGAACGAAACGGUGUGGGCCAAUACCCUGCAUCAAUGACGGUACCUGAAGAAGAAGCACCGGCUAACUACGU
rnacentral:rRNA from 1 species